rnacentral:pre_miRNA from 1 species
UUGAGGGAUUUGAAGACUUCUACUAGCAUACUUGAAGAAUUUGAAGACUUUGACUUGCAUACUUGGAGGAUGAGACUUCUACU